rnacentral:rRNA from 1 species
CUCGUAGGCGGUUCGUCGCGUCCGGUGUGAAAGUCCAUCGCUUAACGGUGGAUCCGCGCCGGGUACGGGCGGGCUUGAGUGCGGUAGGGGAGACUGGAAUUCCCGGUGUAACGGUGGAAUGUGUAGAUAUCGGGAAGAACACCAAUGGCGAAGGCAGGUCUCUGGGCCGUCACUGACGCUGAGGAGCGAAAGCGCGGGGAGCGAACA